CUGCGCCGCGGUCCCGCCGCGCUGGGGGCAGAGCGCGCUCUGCAAUGGGCAUUUCCCUGCGCCCAGCCUCGCCCGUCCCUCGAACGGCCUUCUGUGGCCUAACAGGGACGCAUAAUGCAGAACCAGACUUUACUGAGUUGUCUGAUUGCAAGGUCCCAGUACCAGUCCCAUAAAAGACACCGUUAGUGGAACUCGAGUGUCCUGCGGUGAGGCUCAGAGCAAUGUAAGCAAACAGUGAUCCGGAAGGGGCAAGACGAGGUAAAAAGUGAUUCUCGGGUCAACUGGUUUGUCAGAAGAGCGGUGUGGUUCAGGAGAAGCAAGGAUGUGACAGACCCGAAGAAGUACCUUAAAAUAGCCUAUGCAGUCUACACGUGUAAAAUCACGCUCAGUCAAGAGAGAGACAAAAAAAACCCCAAACCCCUACUCGGUUUUCAGGAUUUAAAUUAUUCGUAUCCAUGAAAAACAAGACCUAUGGCAGCCCUGCAGACAACUUGCUGUGUAGCUGUGUCAGUAAACCCAUCAGGACACACAUGAUCAGUUAAUAUUUCCAGGAAGGCUCUACCAACAACUGGACAGACAUAAAUGAUACACUGCAAAUAAAACACGAUACGUUACAGAUAAAA